rnacentral:tRNA from 3 species
GAGAAAGCUUGCAAGGACUGCUAAUCCAUGCCUCCGUGUAUAACAAAACGGCUCUCUCA